AAAAAAAGAUAUGAAGCUUCACAGAAACGCUAUAAGCUUAAGCCUAUAAGUUUCUUGUUUGAUUAGAAUGGAGCCCCAACACUCCUCCAUCUACAAUCUUAGAAACCUUUAUUCGAAGUUCUAAUGGCUGUGCGAUCAUCCUCCUACGAUGUAUUCCUCAGCUUCCGAGGGGAAGAUACUCGUCAUGGUUUCACUGGCAAUCUCUACAAUGUCCUCCGGGAAAGGGGAAUUGACACCUUCAUUGAUGACGAGGAGCUCCAGAAAGGGCACGAAAUCACAAAAGCACUUGAGGAGGCAAUUGAGAAGUCCAAGAUUUUCAUCAUCGUGCUCUCUGAAAACUACGCAUCUUCCUCCUUUUGCUUAAACGAACUCACUCACAUCCUUAACUUUACUAAGGGGAAGAGUGAUCGGUCGAUUUUGCCAGUUUUUUAUAAAGUGGAUCCUUCAGAUGUCCGAUACCACAGAGGUAGUUUUGGAGAAGCACUGGCUAAUCAUGAAAAGAACUUGAACUCUAAUUACAUGGAGAAGCUUCAGAUCUGGAAGAUGGCUCUGCAACAAGUUUCUAACUUUUCUGGCCAUCAUUUCCAACCUGAUGGGGACAAAUAUGAAUACGAUUUUAUUAAGGAGAUAGUUGAAUCGGUGCCUAGCAAGUUUAAUCGUAAUCUUUUAUAUGUUUCGGAUGUCCUGGUUGGGCUAAAGUCACCGGUGCUAGCAGUAAAGUCGCUUCUGGAUGUUGGAGCUGAUGAUGUUGUCCACAUGGUGGGGAUCCAUGGACUUGGCGGAGUGGGUAAAACAACACUUGCUGUCGCAGUCUAUAAUUCCAUUGCUUGCCAUUUUGAAGCCUGUUGCUUUCUUGAAAAUGUGAGAGAAACUUCCAACAAAAAGGGGUUAGAAAGUCUCCAAAACAUCCUUCUUUCUAAAACAGUUGGAGAUAUGAAAAUUGAAGUAACAAAUUCGAGAGAAGGAACUGACAUAAUAAAGCGUAAGCUCAAGGAAAAGAAGGUUCUUCUGGUUCUAGAUGAUGUUAAUGAACAUGAACAGUUACAAGCGAUUAUUGACAGCCCUGAUUGGUUUGGUCGUGGUAGUAGAGUCAUCAUCACCACUCGAGAUGAACAAUUGUUAGUGCUUCACAAUGUUAAAAGAACAUAUAAGGUGAGAGAGUUGAAUGAGAAACAUGCUCUUCAAUUACUUACUCAGAAGGCUUUUGGGUUGGAAAAAAAAGUUGAUCCAAGUUACCAUGAUAUUUUGAAUCGAGCGGUAACUUAUGCUUCAGGCCUUCCAUUGGCUUUAAAAGUAAUAGGUUCCAACUUAUUUGGAAAAAGUAUAGAAGAAUGGGAAUCUGUUCUAGAUGGAUAUGAAAGAAGUCCUGAUAAAAGUAUCUAUAUGACACUUAAAGUAAGUUAUGAUGCUUUGAAUGAAGAUGAGAAAAGUAUUUUUCUUGAUAUUGCUUGUUGCUUCAAAGAUUAUGAAUUGGCAAAGGUUCAAGAUAUACUUUAUGCUCAUUAUGAUGAAAUAUGAUAUUGGGGUGUUGGUUGAAAAAUCUCUGAUAAACAUUCAUAGGUCAUGGUAUGAUAAGGAGGUCAUGAGAUUGCAUGACUUGAUAGAAGACGUGGGUAAAGAAAUUGUCCGAAGAGAAUCACCAAAAGAGCCUGGGAAACGUAGCAGGUUAUGGUCCCAUGAGGAUAUAAAGGAAGUUUUACAAGAAAAAAAGGGGACUGGAAAGAUUGAAAUCAUAUGUAUGAAUUUUUCCUCAUUUGGAAAAGAAGUAGAAUGGGACGGAGAUGCCUUAAAGAAGAUGGAAAAUCUCAAAACACUUAUUAUCAAGAGUGCUUGUUUUUCCAAAGGUCCCAAACAUCUUCCGAAUUCUUUAAGAGUAUUGGAAUGGUGGAGAUGUCCUUCACAGGAUUUGCCACAUAAUUUUAACCCAAAGCAACUUGCUAUAUGCAAGUUACCCCAUAGUAACUUUACGUCACUCGGGUUGGCUCCAUUAUUUGAUAAGAGUGUCGUGAAUUUGACAAGUUUAAUUUUGGACGAGUGUGAUAGUUUAACAGAGAUACCAGAUGUAUCCUGUCUCUCAAAAUUGGAAAAAUUGUCAUUUAAAGAUUGUAGGAAUUUAUUUACAAUUCACCCUUCAGUUGGUUUAUUGGAAAAGCUUAAAAUCUUGGAUGCUAAAGGUUGCCGAAAGCUUGAGAGUUUUCCACCGUUGAAGUUGACCUCUCUUGAAUGGCUUAAACUUUCGUAUUGUGUCAAUCUCGAGAGUAUUCCCGAAUGCAUCGAAGAAUGCCGCUUUUUAACUACCCUUAUUGUGGAUGGUUGCGCUCGUCUUCAAGAAAUUAGAGGGAUUCCUCCAAACUUGAAAAAAUUCUCUGCAACAGGAUGCCCAGCCUUGACUUCCUCAAGCAUAAGCAUGUUCCUGAAUCAGGAACUGCAUGAGGCUCGAGACAUCUACGUUAAUUUGCCAAGAGUAAAGAUUCCAAAGUGGUUUGAGUGCCAGAGUCGGGGAGAGUCAAUUGUUUUCUGGUUCCGUAACAAAUUCCCAGCCAUAAUUGUUUGCAUUGAUACAGAGUUUUGCUUUGAUGAGCUUGCUGUCAACGUGUUCAUUAAUGAUGAAGAUGAAAGUAAUCAUGUAAGUUUGGAUGUUACCGAAUGCUGCAUGGGUCCUUCUACAGCUGUUUUUCGUCUUAAAAUGGAAGAUUAUUUAGAUGAAGAACUAUUAAAGAAUGAAUGGAACCGUGCAGAGAUUGGUUGUGAAUAUUUGUGGGACGAAUACGCAAUCCAUGUAUUGAAAGAGCAAAGUAGCAUGGAGGAUAUUCGAUUCACUAAGAAAAGGUUGCGGGUCUGGAAAAAGCAAAGGCGGAGAUGUCCUUCACAGGAUAGUAGCUUUACGUCAGUCGGGUUGGAUCCAUUCUAUGAAAAGACGCUCGUGAAUUUGACAAGUUUAAUUUUGGACGAGUGUGAUAGUUUAACAGAGAUACCAGAUGUAUCCUGUCUCUCAAAUUUGGAAAAUUUGUCAUUUAGUGAGUGUCUGAAUUUAUUUAGAAUUCACCAUUCAGUUGGUUUAUUGGGAAAGCUUAAAAUCUUGAAUGCUGAAGGUUGCCCAGAGCUUAAGAGUUUUCCACCGUUGAAGUUGACCUCUCUUGAAAGCCUUGAUCUUUCGUAUUGUUCCAGUCUCGAGAGUUUUCCUGAAAUAUUAGGAAAGAUGGAAAAUAUAACAGAACUUGACUUGAGCGAAUGUCCCAUAACAAAACUCCCACCUUCAUUUCGAAAUCUUACUCGGCUUCAAGAGUUGGAGUUGGAUCAUGGACCCGAAAGUGCUGAUCAGUUAAUGGACUUUGAUGCUGCCACCCUCAUUUCGAACAUCUGCAUGAUGCCAGAACUAUAUGAUAUUAGUGCUCGCCGUUUGCAAUGGAGGCUAUUGCCAGACGAUGCUUUGAAAUUGACCUCAGUCGUGUGUUCAAGCGUUCAUUCUCUCACUUUGGAACUGUCAGAUGAGCUUCUUCCGCUAUUUCUCUCAUGGUUUGUAAAUGUGGAGAAUUUACGGCUAGAAGGGAGUAAAUGCACAGUCAUUCCCGAAUGCAUCAAAGAAUGCCGCUUUUUAUCUAUCCUUAUUUUGAGUGGUUGCGAUCGUCUUCAAGAAAUUAGAGGGAUUCCUCCAAACUUGGAAAGAUUCGCCGCAACAGAAUCCCCAGACUUGACUUCCUCAAGCAUAAGCAUGUUGCUGAAUCAGGAACUGCAUGAGGCUGGACACACUGACUUUAGUUUGCCAAUAUUAAAGAUUCCAGAGUGGUUUGAGUGCCAGAGUCGGGGACCAUCAAUUUUUUUCUGGUUCCGUAACGAAUUCCCAGCCAUAACUUUUUGCAUUGUUAAGUCACAUUUUGAGGCAUAUUCUUCCGAUUCGCUGGUUCUCAGCGUGAUCAUUAAUAAGAAACAUGAACAUAAACAUGACCGUUUCCAUGAUGGCUGCUUCAGCAAAACACCUUCUACAUCUAUUUUUCGUCUUCAAAUGAAAGAUAAUUUAGAUGAAGAAAUAUCAAAGAGUGAAUGGAACCAUGCAGAGAUUGUAUGUAACCUGUCGUGGGACGAAUGCGGAAUCCAUGUAUUGAAAGAGCAAAGUAGCAUGGAGGAUAUUCGAUUCACUGAUCCUUUUAGGAAAAGAAAAAAUUGUUGUUCGGAGGAGGUUGCUGUUGGGGGAAAAAAGCAAAGAUUAGUAGGCAGUGAAGUUGUUGAGACAAAAUUUGUAGAGCAGCAACAACAUAUGGGUUUUUUGUCACACGUGUGGAACUGGACACUAUCACUUGUAAUGUCUCGCAGAUCCGGCAAUCAAUAAUUGGAUGAAAGAGAGAAUUCAAGUUCAGCAGUGGUAUGGUAUCAACGCUGACAAAAGACAACAGUGUAAGUAGCCCUACUGAUUCUUGUUGUCUAGUCAAGUUUGGUUUUAGAUAUUCUAUUUUGCUUUGGAUUCAAUGAAAAUAGAUCGAGCAUUUCAAUCUCUUAAUACAUUCCUCUGAAUGUACUUUUUUUAAAGAACUAAAAGAAAGGAGUUUUAUGCAAAUGAAUAAAAAACCAAAUAAUUACAUC